UACGGAGGAUCCAAGCGUUAUCCGGAUUUAUUGGGUUCAAAGGGUGCGUAGGCGGAUUGAUAAGUUAGAGGUGAAAUGUCCGAGCUCAACUCGGGAACUGCCUCUAAUACUGUUGAUCUAGAGGGUAGAUGCGGUAGGCGGAAUGUAUGGUGUAGCGGUGAAAUGCUUAGAGAUCAUACAGAACACCGAUUGCGAAGGCAGCUUACCAAUCUAUAUCUGACGUUGAGGCACGAAAGCGUGGGGAGCAAACAGG
rnacentral:rRNA from 1 species